rnacentral:misc_RNA from 1 species
GAAAACAGGAAUCACAUUUUGACAACUGGAAGCUAUAUGAAACACGACAACUUGUCUCUUUCAGAAGCUAAUUGCAGUAAAAUUCUGAAACAAGAACAAAUUUAAGAAUUUUAUGAUGCAAACUCAUGGAGGAAUAAGCAGGUAUUCCGCUAAAUUCCAUGACAAGGAUACAAAUGAAAUCACUCAAUAAAUUCAAUUACUAUGAUCCAUCAGGC